rnacentral:rRNA from 1 species
UACGUAGGAUGCAAGCGUUAUCCGGAUUUACUGGGUGUAAAGGGAGCGCAGGCGGGACUUCAAGUUGGAUGUGAAAUACCGGGGCUCAACCCCGGAGCUGCAUCCAAAACUGUAGUUCUUGAGUGGAGUAGAGGCAAGCGGAAUUCCGAGUGUAGCGGUGAAAUGCGUAGAUAUUCGGAGGAACACCAGUGGCGAAGGCGGCUUGCUGGGCUCUAACUGACGCUGAGGCUCGAAAGUGUGGGGAGCAAACAGG